GAUGAACGCUGGCGGCGUGCCUAAUACAUGCAAGUCGAGCGAACAGACGAGGAGCUUGCUCCUCUGACGUUAGCGGCGGACGGGUGAGUAACACGUGGAUAACCUACCUAUAAGACUGGGAUAACUUCGGGAAACCGGAGCUAAUACCGGAUAAUAUAUUGAACCGCAUGGUUCAAUAGUGAAAGACGGUUUUGCUGUCACUUAUAGAUGGAUCCGCGCCGCAUUAGCUAGUUGGUAAGGUAACGGCUUACCAAGGCAACGAUGCGUAGUCGACCUGAGAGGGUGAUCGGCCACACUGGAACUGAGACACGGUCCAGACUCCUACGGGAGGCAGCAGUAGGGAAUCUUCCGCAAUGGGCGAAAGCCUGACGGAGCAACGCCGCGUGAGUGAUGAAGGUCUUCGGAUCGUAAAACUCUGUUAUUAGGGAAGAACAAAUGUGUAAGUAACUAUGCACGUCUUGACGGUACCUAAUCAGAAAGCCACGGCUAACUACGU
rnacentral:rRNA from 1 species